CAGAACUGUACAUACUCACAGCAGAGUCUAGUCAUGUAACCAAUCAAUGGCAGAGCUUCUGUUUGAAUGUAAUAUGGCAACUGUCUAUAAGCACCCAGCAUACCUGGACAACACUUUAGAAUGCAAUGUGGAGAUGACGUCAAUGUGAAACUGAAACGGUAGGGGAAUUUUUGACCAUGAGAAUUUAGUUACUCAGGCUUUUGCAAAAGGUUUUGUAAGAUCUAACAAAAUUUAACGGCUAAAACCAUAGGUUUAUGGCAGGCAUGUGAAACUCGCUUGGGACUCUGGUCCAGAUCUGAACCAUGGCACUUCUUGUGAACCAGAUCUAGCUCAGAGCAUGCAGGCAGCUGCCAGGACUACCACAGUGACUGCGAUCCUAGCACCAGUGGCAGGUCCAGAGGUGCUGAAAGGUGGUCUUGAGGUUUCCUGCAUGUAAGGAAUUUCAUACAAACAAAAUAUUCAUAGACAAAAUUUCUUAAAUGCAACAUCUCUCACCUGUAAGAGCAGAGACACAGGGUCUUUAGCUCUUCUAAGACCAGGCAGCCUGCCAAAAAUAAUCUGUUGGGGAAACUGGAUGCAAAAGAUGAGAUUUUAUAACUCUGUGUGUUCUUCCAAUCUGUGGUUUGUAUGAAGCAGUUCUGACUAAACUACAUAACAUAGCUUGUUAUGGGUGAAGUCAAUGGCAAAUUUCCCAGGACUUCAGUGGAGCCAGGAUUUCACCCUACUAAUACCACAACUUCCUAUGCUGUCACCACUGAAAAACCCUACAAAAAGCAUCUGCUGUUGAUUUUUACAUGCAGCUUGCCUUUUCAACACGGUUGCCCACAGGCCUGCUUCCAUCUAAACAAAUAUCUCAAAAUCCUUUGA
rnacentral:lncRNA from 1 species